rnacentral:tRNA from 1 species
AAUGGGAUGGCUGAAUAGUAAGGCGAUAAAUUGUAAAUUUAUAAAUGAUUAAUAAUCUUCCAUUA